rnacentral:rRNA from 1 species
AUGGACCAUUCCAUCCCUUUUUCCCGUGCAUAUGCAUCGGACUCGGAUGACGAUGGUCCCGAUGAACAAGUUGAUGCGGAGGGGUUCACGGUGAAGGAGGCCGAAGCUUUCGAGAAGGUAUUUGGUCGGGAUCAUCAGACUACAUUGUUCAAGGAUGUUAGUCUCGCGGAUGAAGCCGUGGUAGAUGGUGGCCAAUGUGUACCUCUUGGGGUUAGGCCAAGCUCUCACCGUGAUUUGGUAGACGACAAGAACCGGAUUGCUAAAGGUUCUAAGUUCGACAGCUUAUUGGAAUUGAAGAUGUGGCUCGACAACUACUUGGUUACGCAUUAUCGUCCACACAAGGUGGUGAACUCAGACGUCAAUGUGCGCUACACGGUUGCAUGUGCAUGUGAAGAUGAAAUAUGUCCGUGGAUUGUGCGUGCAAGACCAUGGAAAGGAGGUCCAACUUGGCAUGUAGUGAGUUGUGUGCCAACUCACUUGUGCCAAGGCAAAAGGGUGGAUGGCAAGAUUGUGUCCAAAGACCACAAACAACUCACGUCCGAGUUCAUCGCUUACAGGCUCUCCAACUCAAUAUCCACACUUCCAACAAUGAGCAUCCAACAUGUCAUUGAUCUUGUGAAAGCCAUCUUUCAUUACAAGGUGAAAUACGGUAAGGCAUGGAAGGUGAAGCAAGCCGCAUUUAAGAUGUUGUAUGGUACAUGGGAGGAAGCAUACAACCGAAUCCCUAGGUGUUGUUAG